GCCACCAUAUUCAUCCUUGUGAGUACAUGGUUACUUCACUCACCAUGUCUCUUAGUCUUGCUCUAUAAUUGUCUAAACCCCCAUCACCAUCCCAUAUACCUUGACCUGCUCACGCAUUGUUGCAUGUGGUCAAUCCCAAUCCUUCCAAAAUUGAAUUCUUAUAAAAGCUACUAAUCAUCAAAUAUACCUUGGGAACUAUCUUCAUCAUAAGUUGGUCUCAACCAAAGUGGUGGAGAUUAUUCUCAUGGCACAUGUCACCUUCAUACUCCUUUUUUAUCUAUAUGUAUCUACUCCUAUUUUUAUCAUCAUCAAAGUCACUCUUUGACAUUUUCUCCUCAAUAUCAUGCACAUAUCUAUUCACAUGGAUGUUGUGCCUCUCCCUCACAUUGUUCACUUGUAUUUGGCAAGAAUGGAGCCGGCCAAUUAUGUUGGCAUGGCAAUUUCGGCCAGCCACUUUCCUCCUCACUUUCUUCUCUUGCAAGACUUGCCUCUCAACUACCCCAACAAUUAAAUGGGCAGCCACCCAUCCUAGCCAAUCAAAAAGGAGGCAGCCAACCCCCUCUCCCUCUAUAAAUGGCCCUUGGCCGGCCACCUCCACUCCUCUUGCUCUCAUUUUUCUUCUCUCCACUCACUCCUCCACCUUAUCUACUCCCUCACACUCUUCUCCUACUCCCCCCACGAAAAUGCAGCUCCACCUAGCUCCCAUGGCCGGCCAUGGCCAUGGAAAGAACUCCAAGAUGAAGCUCCCUCCUCCCUCAAGCUCCUCCUCACCAUGAGAGCCUCCCUCUCCUUCUUCUCCCCAACCCUAGAUGGUUUUCUCUCCUCUUCCCCUUCCUCCAUUGCUAAGAUUGGAUCUUGAUGCAGGUGCAUGUUGGUCCAAGCAUGCAGAAGCUUGAGCUAUCCUCAGAUCUGAAGUUCUUGAGCAAAAUCCAAAUCGAGUGAUUCAAAGUUCCGCAGAUAGAUACGGAAAAGAUCUACAACUUGGCAUUGGUCUCAUCCUCAAAUUCGUUACGUAUUGUCCGUGGUGAAAGCCCUCUUCAAUAGCUUCAUUUUGGCGGUGGUUUCACUUCGAUUGACCUCCUGAAACUGAAAUGGUUCACAGGUCAAGAUCUGGUCAGAUCUGACUUUGUCGAAUUAAACCAGGAUCUUGGGAAUGAAUUUUUGAAUGAAACAAAUUGGGGGAUGUUUGGUUUAUACCAUGGUGAUAACCGAGAGAGGCAAUUGCUAAGUUGUGAUGCACUCAUACCUCUACUAGAUGCGAACAAUUCCGGAGAAGAAGAAGAAGUGGAAUUGGACAAGGAUUUUAUUUAUAUUGUUGGGAUUCUUAUAUUGAUAGAGUUGAAGAAUUACAGGGACAAAUAAGCUAAGGCAAGCCAUUUACUUUGAUCCAUCGUUCUCUAUGUUCUUGAUUGAGAUCUUGCCAUCCUUUGGUCUCUUGGCUCCUUGAGUUCCUUGGGUUUUCGAUUACUUUGUUUCUUUACAUACUUGCCACCAAGUAUGUAAGGUUCUCCUUGUUACUUUGCAUACCUACUCUAAGUAUGCGAAUUACGUUCAUCGCCUUUUGACACCUCUAAUUCUAGUAAAGAUAUGGGUUAACCUCAUUAAAAUUGCUCCACUUUUGAUUAUCUCCAUUUAUGCUCAAUGUGAGUAUGGAUGUCUUUGUCACCCUUCAUGGUAUAAUGGCAACUUUUGGGCUAUUAUACUUCUUAGUUCACACAUAAACUUUAGGUUGGGAAAACCCUCAAGGUUUUACCUUGUUGUAAAAGUUUUUGAUAAAACCUUGGGCAUGAUGUUUUCCCCAAGUGAGGAUUUAUGAAAGGAAAGGAUUUGGUAAAAAUGAUGAGGAUGUGAAAAAGGUUGGGUUUUAUGAAAACUUUGGCGCCUAAGUACUCACCCAUGACAAUUAACUAGCGCAACCACAAUAUCCAAAGUGGGCACGGGCUUAGUCCGUAGUUUGUUGAAUUUGACAUGAGAUACCUUCGCCACUCUCUAGGAGGGUCACGAUGACCUCUGACACCGGGUUGCGCUCUGAAGGAGGCAAUACACUGCAUUAACUUGCAGCCGGACGAUUACUGAGGGUCUUCUGUCAUGGUGCCGGAGAUACGCUCAAAAGGAGGUAUGCUGCCGGGGUGCCGGGAAGGGGUAAGCCCGCAGGGAAGGACUCAUGACAAGGGAGACAGGCGAAAGGCUAUGACUGAUUAUCCGAGACUCGCAUACUUUAGUAUGACGAACCGG